rnacentral:rRNA from 1 species
AACGAACGCUGGCGGCAGGCUUAACACAUGCAAGUCGAGCGCCUCGCAAGGGGAGCGGCAGACGGGUGAGUAACGCGUGGGAAUCUACCCAUCUCUACGGAAUAACGCAUGGAAACGUGUGCUAAUACCGUGUACGUCCUUCGGGAGAAAGAUUUAUCGGAGAUGGAUGAGCCCGCGUCGGAUUAGCUAGUUGGUGGGGUAAAGGCCUACCAAGGCGACGAUCCAUAGCUGGUCUGAGAGGAUGAUCAGCCACACUGGGACUGAGACACGGCCCAGACUCCUACGGGAGGCAGCAGUGGGGAAUAUUGGACAAUGGGCGCAAGCCUGAUCCAGCCAUGCCGCGUGAGUGAUGAAGGCCCUAGGGUUGUAAAGCUCUUUCACCGGUGAAGAUAAUGACGGUAACCGGAGAAGAAGCCCCGGCUAACUUCGUGCCAGCCGCCGCCGUAAAAC